GUGCCAGCCGCCGCGGUAAUACGUAGGGUGCGAGCGUUAAUCGGAAUUACUGGGCGUAAAGCGUGCGCAGGCGGUCUUGUAAGACAGUCGUGAAAGCCCCGGGCUUAACCUGGGAACUGCGAUUGUGACUGCAAGGCUAGAGUGUGUCAGAGGGGGGUGGAAUUCCACGUGUAGCAGUGAAAUGCGUAGAGAUGUGGAGGAACACCAAUGGCGAAGGCAGCCCCCUGGGUCGAUACUGACGCUCAUGCACGAAAGCGUGGGUAGCAAACAGGAUUAGAUACCCUGGUAGUCCACGCCCUAAACGAUGUCAACUAGGUGUUGGGUGGGUAAAACCAUUUAGUACCGGAGCUAACGCGUGCAGUUGACCGCCUGGGGAGUACGUUCGCAAGAAUGAAACUCAAAUGAAUUGGCGG
rnacentral:rRNA from 1 species